rnacentral:rRNA from 1 species
UACGUAGGGCGCAAGCGUUAUCCGGAAUUAUUGGGCGUAAAGAGCUCGUAGGCGGUUUGUCGCGUCUGCCGUGAAAGUCCGGGGCUCAACUCCGGAUCUGCGGUGGGUACGGGCAGACUAGAGCGAUGUAGGGGAGACUGGAAUUCCUGGUGUAGCGGUGAAAUGCGCAGAUAUCAGGAGGAACACCGAUGGCGAAGGCAGGUCUCUGGGCAUUAACUGACGCUGAGGAGCGAAAGCAUGGGGAGCGAACAGG